rnacentral:rRNA from 1 species
AGAGUUUGAUUCUGGCUCAGGAUGAACGCUAGCGGCAGGCUUAACACAUGCAAGUCGAGGGGCAGCGGGAUGUAGCAAUACAUUGCCGGCGACCGGCGGAUGGGUGCGUAACGCGUAUGCAACCUACCUUAUACAGGGGAAUAACCUUUCGAAAGGGAGACUAACACCCCAUGGUAUUGAUUUAAGGCAUCUUAGAUUAAUUAAAUAUUUAUAGGUAUAAGAUGGGCAUGCGUAUGAUUAGCUAGUUGGUAAGGUAACGGCUUACCAAGGCGACGAUCAUUAGGGGUUCUGAGAGGAAGGUCCCCCACACUGGUACUGAGACACGGACCAGACUCCUACGGGAGGCAGCAGUGAGGAAUAUUGGUCAAUGGGCGCAAGCCUGAACCAGCCAUGCCGCGUGCCAGGAAGACGGCCUUAUGGGUUGUAAACUGCUUUUACAUAAGACUAACCGUAUAUUUGCGAAUAUACCUGAAUGUAUUAUGAGAAUAAGGAUCGGCUAACUCCGUGCCAGCCGCCGC